AGGCCUAGACUGGUGUCAAUAUU
rnacentral:miRNA from 1 species